rnacentral:misc_RNA from 1 species
CAAAUGCGAUACGCAAUGCGAAUUGCAGAAUUCCGCGAGUCAUCAGAUCUUUGAACGCAAAUGGCGCUCGGUUAAAAAAUACCCGAGCAUGUUUGUUUCAGUGUGUUCGGAAUCAUAAAUCAUAAUGCGAUUGAAUUUUUUAAUUAAACAUUCUCUCGUUAAACAAGAAAGUGCUGAAUUGUUCAGUGCCAACCGAUGUAGUCACUUCUCAGCAAGUGAUCUCGGUUGUGCUCAACUGAAGAUUCACUCAAAAGCAUCUUUUUAAUUUAUUAUUCUCUCCACUCCACACCUGAAAUCAAGCAAGAUUACCCGCUGAACUUAA